ACCUUCCCCGAAUCUGUCUCCCAUAUCUAUCCUUCUAAGCAAUAAAUUUCAAAGAUAUUUUCACUUGAAGAAGAAUUAACUUUCUUAUACUAAAGGAAUUUUUAACUUUUAAACGUUCUUUUCUUAACCAUGGGAAGCAAGAGAGAGUAUGUUCGUUAUUAAUAAUUAAUGUGGCUAGGUAGAUGCUGUGGGCACUUUCCUUUCCAUAAUCAACUUCCUUCCGUCUGCUGCUGUGAUCACUUCAUGAAACACACCUGAAAGGCGGUUCCGAAGCACCUGUGGCGUCAUUAGGUUAUCUGCCCAAACAAGGCAAUCUCACUGUUUGUUUGAUUUCCAAUAAAAGCUGAAAAUUUUCUUAUUAACCUCUGUGACUUCUGAAUGUAUGUUUUGUUUACUGCUAGACCCUACUAAUUUCAUUGGUAUGUUUUAUAUUGAGCUGCCUGGUAAGUUUGCGAAUGUGGUAAUUAUCACGGUGAAUUGAAUUUCAGAGGCAUGCCCUAGAUUUUUUUUCUUCCAGACAAUACAAAUGAUGCCAUCUAAUACAGAAGAUGACUAGACUAACCAGGAGCCAAGUUCUUUCCAAUAAAUACAAAGUGUAUGAAAUGGUAGCUUUUCUUUUACAGACUGAAGGGAACUGGCAAUGAAAAUCUAGACCACCCCCUACCCUCUUGAAAUUCAUUAAGUCAAAUAAAUCAAAGUCUGAUAAUGUCAAGUCUGUAACCAAAGCAAAGCACAUUGUACACAUGAGUACACACGUCUUCUAAAACGAACAUAAUAAAGUAGCAUCAGCUUCCUUUAUAACUACUUAAUACCAUUUGAAUGGUUGUAAAUUUUGAGUCACCGUAUUUCCAAUGGAUUACAUUAUAAAAUGUCCAAGUACAUUAUAAAGAUAUUGUCCCAAACUACUUGAGCAUGAAAUAUCUCUUGCUUCAUACAUAUACCCUGAUUUUAUCUACCUGAUCCUUUAAAAAACUUAAGUACAAAUAUACUGAUGGUCAUUCUCCCCUUUCACAUGUGCCCAAAUCUUUCCCUCAGAUCCAGUUCUGGAGCUGCGGUGCUUAGAGAAUUAAAGAGAUGUGUCGGGCUCCCUGUGCCUUGUCCGCCAUUCUUACCCACCUCACUUGUCUCAGAACUGGCCUCCUGCCCCAAACUUCUUCUCCUUGUCACAAGUUCAAUUUCCAGCUCUGGAUGUCUUAGACCCUGGGCCUUGCCACACGCUGGCCUCCACUGGACCACCUGGCUGAUAGGAUCCAUUUCGUAUUGGGCUGAGACAGACACCUGGUUUUCUUUUUAAACCUUCAUAAGUCUGCCUAGUUUCCAAAUCCGAGCCACCACCGUCAAAUACCAGUCAGCCUUAUUUUGGCAUUCCACAGGCCUCAACGCUCUGAGUCGGCCCUUAAGAUUGCUCUUUAAUGUUAAUAGUCUGGUGGAAGGGGUAUUAUAGGUGUUUCAGGGAUGCUCUUCAUCUGUGUGUAAAUUCUUAAACUGGUGCUUCUCAACCUUGCAAAGGCUGCAACCCUCUAAGACAGCGCCUCAUGUUGUGGUGACCCCAAACCAUACAAUUAUUUUGUUGCUACUUCAUAAUUGUAAUUCUGCUACAGCUGUGAAUCAUAUAGUAUAAAUAGCUGCCAUGCAGGAUAUCUAAUAUGCGACUCCUGUGAAAAGGUCAUUCAAACCCCCGAAGGAAUCACAACCCACAGGUUGAGCACCGCUGUCUUAGACAAUGUUGAAUAUAUAGUACAUUAGCAUUUGAGAGAAUGACUAAUGGAUAUAAUGAGAAAAAUGGUGUAAAAGAAUGUGUUUAGAUAUUCCUUGAGAUACCAAGACACAUGGUGAAGGAAAAAAGCAUCAGUUAUUAACAGUGUUCUCAUGGGGAUGUCCCAAGAGAUUGUUCAUUUGAUUUCUGUCACAUAGCAACUUUUGAUAAAUUCUUCAUUUCCAAGUCAAGAAUUUUAAAUAACCACGUCUUGAUUUAGCCACAUAAUUAUAGUCUACAAGCCAGGGAAUUCUCCAGGUGGCUCUUGCAGUGAUAGCAAUGAGGAGGUGUGUGACCUGGCUGCUUCCCAAGCCCACCUAAUCCCCUCCAGCCAAACAAAUUGACUCUGUGAUUCCCUGAACAAUGUUCACUCACUGUUUAAAAUUGUAGUUUCAGUUUGCUUCCGACUCUCAAAUUUUAGGAAACAAAGACAUUUGCGCUCCAUACAACGUCUCCUCAGCCUGCUUCUUUCAGCUUCUUAGUUCAGGUAGUCUCUUUUGUCUUAGCCGGUCUCAAUGGCCUCAUAACAUUUACAACAAUUAAAAUUUGAAAUACCUGGCUGUAAUGUAGUGUCAGUGUUUUUGUUUCUUUAAUUGUAAACAUUCCAUGAGAAUCUAUUAUCCUUGAAAAAAAGGCUAAUUUUGUUUUUUGUUUUUCUUUUUUCUUUUUUUAAACUGGAAGCUUAUAUAAUGGCUGUUAUUUUCAUAUGGAUGAAUAUAGCGAUCUGCAGUCUAACUUAUUCAUGCAGAAACUCAAAACUUCAUUGUGUGCAGCAAAUGUUAGCUCAUAUGUUCCCUCAUGGUAGAUUUAAAUGAAUAUUCUCAUGGCUUCAGAAUAGAUCACCCAUACCUAGUUAAGAGGCCUUGAAGAAAGACUGUUGUUUCUGAAUUUCAUCAAACAAGCCAUGCAUUGCUUUAGCUUUAAACCUACUUAGAGGAGAGGGGCAGAUGCGGAAACUUUUCACAGAUGCACACAGGAGCUGAUUAAUUAGCAUAAGGGUGACAGGGUUUUGUUUCUGUGUCCUAGAUUACAUGAACUGGAUUCGAUGUUGCCGCCAAUGUUUUUAAAUUUGUUUGGAAGCACUGACUUUUAAAAUCUCUUCUAAAGCAAGAGCUAGAGAAGGAGCCUUGCCUCUGAGCAUCAGCUGGCCUAGAAUACUUUACAUAUUUGACUUGCUAGUUUAGCUACAAGGCAUGAUAAACUGUAUUCAACAGACGUACUUAUUCUGUUUUCCGACUCAGAACAUUUAAAAUAUUUGCCAGUUGGAGCUAGAGAGUUAGCUAGCUAAGCAGUUAAGAGCUCUGACUGUUCUUCCAGAAGACCUCGGUUCGAUUCCCAGUACCUACUGGGCGGCUCACAACUCUAGAACUCUAGAACCAUGGGAUCUGACUCCCCCCCCCCCCACUUUCUGGCUGUCACAGGGACUGAAUGUAAAUGGUGUGCAGACAGCAUAUAGACAAAAUACUCAUAUGCAUAAAAUAAAAAUAAAGGUAAAAUGUUUUUAAACAAAAUAUUCACAAGGAUGUUUGCCUCCAAUCUUGAUUAUAUUCCAUGCAGACAGAAUUAAGUAAUUUCCUGAAAGAGUACUAAAGGAAAAAAGUAAUUAAUAACAGGUAACUGACAAGCAUAAUAGUUUAGCCGAAGUUAUGAUGUAAUGCUAUGCAAAUAACCUUCAAAAUUAUUCUCAAAAGUAUAUUUUCAUGUCCAUUAAAAGGACUGUGAUUUGUGGCAAUGUUGGAAGACAUAGAAGUUACAGAGAUGUCUCAAUGGCAUGGCUAAUUUAUUCUUCCGAUUACUCGUGGAAGUGGAAAUGGAAUCAGGCCUCAUUUACUGUAGGGGAUAGAUAUCUUCCAUGUAGAGGGAAUAGAGUUUUAUGAAUAGCAGGUGCAAGUCUGCAAAAAAUGAACUUCCCUCAGUUAGGGGAAAUGAGGACAUUUCUAAAAAUGACUAUAAAUGCUGGAUUUUGAUGAAAUGGACAUCCACAGAGCUUGUCUUAGCUAGUGCUCUAUUGUGGUGAAGAUGCACGUGACCGAGGCAACUCUUAUAAGAGAAAAGUGUUUGAUAGAGGCUUGGUUAUACUGUUAGAGGUUUAGUCAGUCAUCAUGGUGAGGAGCACGGCAGCAUGCUGGCAGAUACUGGAACAGUAGCUGAGAGCUCUGUCCUAAUGUAGAGGUAGAUGGUGUAGGGGGAGACUGGGCCAGAUUUGUACAUUUCAAAUGUCUAAACACACCCCCAGGGACACACUUUCUCCAACAGGCCACACCUACCCCAAUGAGGCCACACCUCCUAAACCCUUUAAUCCUUUCAAACAGUUCUACUUCCUGGUGAUUGGGCAUUCAAAUAUAUAAGUCUACACGUGUCUUUCUUAUUAGAGCUUCCCCAGAGCUGAAGCUGUUGUUGCAUUAAAUGUUCAUGUAAGCCAAGGACUAGUUGAUAUGAAUAAAUAUUAAUGAGGAGCACAAAUAGAACUUU
rnacentral:lncRNA from 1 species